rnacentral:lncRNA from 1 species
AGGGAAUUGAAGGAAAGACUUUUUCUGGUGAACAGGGGCUGGAAAAUGUCCUUGGCUUCCUCGAGCACUAAUGUCCAUUAAUCAGGACAAUAGCUAUAGGUCUGUAGUUCUCACCAAGGACAUCUGGACACAUCUGAACACAAUUUGUUGAGCCCUUCCAGAAACUGCCUCAUAGACACCAUCCUGUCACGCUGAGAUUGCCAUGAACUGUCGCACCAACCGAAAGGAAGGAGUCAAACAAGAAAGUCUCUGCUGUGGAAAUCUGGCCACCACACAACUUCCUGGUUGCUGGCUAGAGAUCACGGAAGGAGCUGGCUGUCGAGACAUCUCAUGUGAAAACUGA